UACGGAGGGUGCAAGCGUUAUCCGGAUUUACUGGGUUUAAAGGGUGCGUAGGCGGACUUUUAAGUCAGUGGUGAAAUCCCCGAGCUUAACUCGGAAACUGCCAUUGAUACUAUUAGUCUUGAAUUCGGUCGAGGUUGGCGGAAUGUGUCGUGUAGCGGUGAAAUGCUAGAUAUGACACAGAACACCGAUUGCGAAGGCAGCUAGCUAGACCGACAUUGACGCUAAGGCACGAAAGCGUGGGGAUCAAACAGG
rnacentral:rRNA from 1 species